rnacentral:rRNA from 1 species
GAUGAACGCUGGCGGCGUGCCUAAUACAUGCAAGUCGAGCGAACAGACGAGGAGCUUGCUCCUCUGACGUUAGCGGCGGACGGGUGAGUAACACGUGGAUAACCUACCUAUAAGACUGGGAUAACUUCGGGAAACCGGAGCUAAUACCGGAUAACAUGUUGAACCGCAUGGUUCAACAGUGAAAGACGGUCUUGCUGUCACUUAUAGAUGGAUCCGCGCCGCAUUAGCUAGUUGGUAAGGUAACGGCUUACCAAGGCAACGAUGCGUAGCCGACCUGAGAGGGUGAUCGGCCACACUGGAACUGAGACACGGUCCAGACUCCUACGGGGGGCAGCAGUAGGGAAUCUUCCGCAAUGGGCGAAAGCCUGACGGAGCAACGCCGCGUGAGUGAAGAAGGUCUUCGGAUCGUAAAACUCUGUUAUUAGGGAAGAACAAAUGUGUAAGUAACUAUGCACGUCUUGACGGUACCUAAUCAGAAAGCCACGGCUAACUACGUG